UACGUAGGGGGCGAGCGUUGUCCGGAUUUAUUGGGCGUAAAGAGCUCAUAGGCGGCUUGGCAAGUCGGGUGUGAAACCUCCAGGCUCAACCUGGAGACGCCACUCGAUACUGCCAUGGCUAGAGUCCGGUAGGGGACCACGGAAUUCCUGGUGUAGCGGUGAAAUGCGCAGAUAUCAGGAGGAACACCGGUGGCGAAGGCGGUGGUCUGGGCCGGCACUGACGCUGAGGAGCGAAAGCGUGGGUAGCAAACAGG
rnacentral:rRNA from 1 species